GACCAUGUGGCCUAAUGGAUAAGGCGUCUGACUUCGAAUCAGAAGAUUGAGGGUUCGAGUCCCUUCAUGGUUA